UAAAAAUGAUCUGCCUAAUGUCUGCAAAACCUCAAAUGUACACAUGUACGCAGACGACACAGUAAUCUAUGCGAGCAAAUCCGAGCUACCGCAGCUUGAGGCUGUGCUCCAAGGCCAGUUUACAGAGGUAGAAAAGUGGAUCGCAAAAAACAAACGUCCUAAACACUGACAAAACUGUCACAAUGAUAUUUGGAACAGUAUCUAAAUUACACAAAUUACACAAUUCCCACCUAUCCAUCAAAACUAAUUCAAAUAGCACACUGACCGCAGUCCACUCUUUUAAAUACUUGGGUAUGUUGUUAGACCCCAAUCUAUCUUUUGGCCUCCACAUAGAAAAUUUUGCAUCUAAACUUUAUCCAAAACUAGGUGCCCUGUACAGAAACAAAUCCUGCCUCAGCCCAACAGUAAAGGAAAAGAUUGUACAGCAAAUACUAAUGCCAAUCAUUGAUUAUGGGGAUGUAGUAUAUGCAUCUGCACCGCAAUCCCACAUUAAUAAACUCAAUACAUUGUAUAACUCGUUCUGCCGAUUUGUGCUACAAUGUAACUACAGAACCCACCACUGU